AUCUGGGCGGCGGAAUUCAGGAUGGCUGGCGGGCUUCGCGCUUGUCCGGUCGUUUGAUAUUUCCGUCGCCGUGUCGGACGUCGCGACCUGUUCGUCGUCGGUCCMUGCUCGGAGGAAUCGCGAUCGAGUUCGUUGCGYGGUGCGUUUCGGCGUGCCRUGCGGCGAAGACGUGRCUCUCUGGCUGACGGCGGACAGUAAGCAACGGUGUCCGGCGUCGUGUCUCGCACUCGAUGCCGGUGCCGGUCUGCGACGAUUUCUUCGGGCCUCUUUCCGACCCGUCUUGAAACACGGACCAAGGAGUCUAACAUGCGCGCGAGUCGCGGGGUUUCGAGCGUACCACGGUGCGCUCGUUACUUGCGAAACCCGUACGUUGAAGGCGUAAUGAAAGUGAACAGGGAAGAUGGCGUUCCGAGUCCACGUACCGUGAUCGAGUGUCGCGGCCGGACGUCCGCACUCCCGGGGCGUCUCAAUGGCUCGUCGCGGACGCGGACGGUCGUCUCUCGGGGCGAUCGUCGGUCUGCGUCGGACCGAGGCGCACCUAUAGCGUGCACGUUGGUACCCGAAAGAUGGUGAACUAUGCC
rnacentral:rRNA from 1 species